AUGCUGCUGGGAUAAUCUUGUCCUAAUAUAAUGCCAUUUGAAUCACUUUGUCAGCUUAAUGAAACUGGUUUAAGUUGAUCAUAUAAGAUGGAAUAUGC